rnacentral:sRNA from 1 species
GGCUCAAGUUCCACAUUGGCAUCAACCGGUACGAGCUGUACUCCAGACACAACCCAGCCAUCGAGGCCCUGCUGCACGACCUCAGCUCCCAGAGGAUCACCAGCGUGGCAGAUUUUACUGGCACCUCCUGCAAGUCAGACCCCCUUCCUGGGUGGUGGGGAGUUGAGGAUGAGUUCAGCCUCCACGAGAUCUGCUGCCUCUGUGGACCUGACAGCCCCAGGAAGAGACACACACACACGGUGCCCGAUCCUGAGGAGGAACGAGCACUUCAGAGCCGUGCACGCCAGCCAGGGCGUGUGGAGAGGAGGGGGCUCCACUGGCAGGGGCUGAGGACCUUCCACGGGGUCCGUCGGGCAGCUCACCUUCCAGGUGGGGUCCGUCGUGGCAGGGAGAGGAAUGAGAGAGCCUUGCACACCAGCCAGGGUGUUGGGGAGGAGCAGCACUUAAGAUAGAAAGUCUCCAGUGCCGCUGUCCGUGUCAGCUUCUCUGCAGCUCAUUGUCCCCGUCUGUCCGGCGGGGUCUCGCCGCGUGGGUCGAUGCAAGGAUAGGAUGAG